GGGGGGCCCCAAAAAAGGCCCCCCCCCUUUUUUUUUGGGCCCCCAAAAAAAAUUUUGGGUUUUUUUUUUUAAAAAAAAAACCCCGGGUUUUUUUUUUCCCAAAAAAAAACCCCCCUUUUUU